UCUGUGGAGAGCCGUAUAAACUGUAUAAACUUUACUCUUUGAAGUGAAUGUUUUUAUUCAGGGUUUUAAGAAACAGAAA
rnacentral:ncRNA from 1 species